UUUCUCAUUUCCCAGGCCUCCCCACAGGAAAAGCUGGCAGUAUCCAUGCUGUGCCUGCCCUCUGGACAAAUUAGGGACUGUGGUGUCUGUAGAUAACAGCCCAGCAUCUCCCACCAGGAUAAAUUCACACCAAAGGCAACAGGGAAAAGCAGCGGGAAGCGUUUGUGCUCCGGGGACUGGUCAUUAUUUACUGAAGCUCCUUGAUGCCUCAACAGCAUCUGAAACCCGUGGGAAGUGCUGCAGCAGUACAGAGACGGAGCUGACAGAGAAGGAAAGGCCCCAGGAAUUGUUUCCAUCUGUCACUUGGCUUUGCCCACAGGCUCUGGUGCUGCCCGUGGUGGGCACUGGCUGCACUGGCAUGGGCUGUGUGCUCCUGCCUUCCCUGGAUCCUUGUCUGGCACCAACACCCCGGGGUCGGACUUUUCUCCUGGGGAACAAGUGAUGGGACAAGAGGAAACGGCCUCAAGUUGCACCAGGGGAGGUUUGGGUUGGAUCAAAGGAAAAUUUCUCCGCUGAAAGGGUUGGUGGAGUCCCCGUCCCUGGAAAAGCUGAAAAACUUGAAA